GCUACUUUGCUGACGAGCGGCGGACGGGUGAGUAAUGCUUGGGAACAUGCCUUGAGGUGGGGGACAACAGUUGGAAACGACUGCUAAUACCGCAUAAUGUCUACGGACCAAAGGGGGCUUCGGCUCUCGCCUUUAGAUUGGCCCAAGUGGGAUUAGCUAGUUGGUGAGGUAAUGGCUCACCAAGGCGACGAUCCCUAGCUGGUUUGAGAGGAUGAUCAGCCACACUGGGACUGAGACACGGCCCAGACUCCUACGGGAGGCAGCAGUGGGGAAUAUUGCACAAUGGGCGCAAGCCUGAUGCAGCCAUGCCGCGUGUGUGAAGAAGGCCUUCGGGUUGUAAAGCACUUUCAGUCAGGAGGAAAGGUUAGUAGUUAAUACCUGCUAGCUGUGACGUUACUGACAGAAGAAGCACCGGCUAACUCCGUGCCAGCAGCCGCGGUAAUACGGAGGGUGCGAGCGUUAAUCGGAAUUACUGGGCGUAAAGCGUACGCAGGCGGUUUGUUAAGCGAGAUGUGAAAGCCCUGGGCUCAACCUGGGAACUGCAUUUCGAACUGGCAAACUAGAGUGUGAUAGAGGGUGGUAGAAUUUCAGGUGUAGCGGUGGAAUGCGUAGAGAUCUGAAGGAAUACCGAUGGCGAAGGCAGCCACCUG
rnacentral:rRNA from 1 species